GCCUGCAUGGAGUAGUGGUUAACUCACCGGACUCCGACCUUGUAGUCAGAGUUAGUCGGGAACCCGGGUUCGAAUCCCGGUGCAGGUC